CGGGUGUAGUUCAAUGGUAGAACCCCAGCCUUCCAAGCUGGUCGUGAGGGUUCGAUUCCCUUCACCC
rnacentral:tRNA from 1 species